AUUGAACGCUGGCGGCAGGCUUAACACAUGCAAGUCGAGCGGGGGAAGGUAGCUUGCUACCGGACCUAGCGGCGGACGGGUGAGUAAUGCUUAGGAAUCUGCCUAUUAGUGGGGGACAACAUCUCGAAAGGGAUGCUAAUACCGCAUACGUCCUACGGGAGAAAGCAGGGGAUCUUCGGACCUUGCGCUAAUAGAUGAGCCUAAGUCGGAUUAGCUAGUUGGUGGGGUAAAGGCCUACCAAGGCGACGAUCUGUAGCGGGUCUGAGAGGAUGAUCCGCCACACUGGGACUGAGACACGGCCCAGACUCCUACGGGAGGCAGCAGUGGGGAAUAUUGGACAAUGGGGGGAACCCUGAUCCAGCCAUGCCGCGUGUGUGAAGAAGGCCUUAUGGUUGUAAAGCACUUUAAGCGAGGAGGAGGCUACUUUAGUUAAUACCUAGAGAUAGUGGACGUUACUCGCAGAAUA
rnacentral:rRNA from 1 species